UGGGAACAUGCCUUUCAGUACGGAACAACGCUUGGAAACGAGUGCUAAUACCGUAUACGCCCUUAGGGGGAAGGAUUUAUCGCUGAAAGAUUGGCCCGCGCUAGAUUAGCUAGUUGGUAAGGUAACGGCUUACCAAGGCGACGAUCUAUAGCUGGUUUGAGAGGAUGAUCAGCCACACUGGGACUGAGACACGGCCCAGACUCCCACGGGAGGCAGCAGUGGGGAAUAUUGGACAAUGGGGGCAACCCUGAUCCAGCGAUGCCGCGUGAGUGAUGAAGGCCUUAGGGUUGUAAAACUCUUUCAGGGGUGAAGAUAAUGACGGUAACCCCAGAAGAAGCUCCGGCUAACUCCGUGCCAGCAGCCGCGGUAAUACGGAGGGAGCUAGCGUUGUUCGGAAUUACUGGGCGUAAAGCGCGCGUAGGCGGCUUGGCAAGUAGAGGGUGAAAUCCCGGAGCUUAACUCCGGAACUGCCUCCUAAACUGCUGAGCUAGAAUCCUGGAGAGGUGAGUGGAAUUCCUAGUGUAGAGGUGAAAUUCGUAGAUAUUAGGAAGAACACCAGUGGCGAAGGCGACUCACUGGACAGGUAUUGACGCUGAGGUGCGAAAGCGUGGGGAACGAACAGGAUUAGAUACCCUGGUAGUCCACGCCGUAAACUAUGUUGCUAGGUGUUGGGUAGCUUGCUAUUCAGUGCCGAAGCUAACGCGUAAGCAC
rnacentral:rRNA from 1 species